AUUGACAGUUCCCUCCUCUUUGUCUGUCUCUCCCUUCCCCAUGGCAUUCAAUUCACUCACGAGCUGUCCAUCAAGAACCGUUAAUGCCGGUGCACUUCGAAUCUCCUCAACAUAGUUGAUCUGAUCGACCGGAAACAUUUGAUCUGAGAGACCCAUAUCCUGCUUGCGGAAGAUGAAGCUACUCGGGCUGACCCAGCGCGCGUUCAUGGCUUCUCCCCUGUCCGUCAGGGGAACGAUAAGGUCGGUAUUUCACCGAGGAAGCGUCUCCUCUUCCUAUUCUGCUUCUGCCUCCUCCGCUGGUUUGAAAUGGGAAGGUGGGGUUUCGAUGGUGCAGGGAGCUUCCAGAGGAAUCGGCCUUGAAUUUGUCAGGCAGCUCCUGCAGAAAUCCGGAAAAGGGCAUGUUGUUGCCACAUGCCGCAACCCCAAUAGGUCAUCCGGGCUUCUUGAUCUGAAAAAUAUGUUCCCAGAGCGGCUUAGCGUUCUGCCACUAGAUGUCACUGUUGAAAGUACCAUUGAGGAUUCCGCAAAGCUCAUUACAGAAAAAUAUGGCUCUCUGAACCUUCUUAUCAAUGCAUCGGGCAUUCUUUCAAUACCUGACGUGCUGCAACCAGAAACAACAUUAACCAAAGUAGAGAAGUCAUCGUUGCUGCUUGCUUAUGAGGUUAAUGCUGUGGGUCCCAUACUGGUGAUCAAGCAUAUGUGGCCUCUUCUGAAGGCUGGAGGUGGAACCAAAAGAGAGGUUGCAAUCGUGGCCAAUUUGAGUGCGCGGGUGGGAUCAAUUGGGGAUAAUCGACUCGGUGGUUGGCACUCAUAUCGAGCUUCCAAGUCUGCACUCAAUCAGUUGACGAAGACUGUCUCGGUUGAGUUUGCUAGAAAGAAGGAUCCGAUCGCAUGCAUUUUAUUGCAUCCCGGAACUGUGGACACAGAUCUCUCUAAGCCGUUCCAGAGGAACGUUCCUGAAGGCAAGCUAUUCACGAAGGAGUAUUCGGUCCAGAGACUUCUCGGUAUCAUUGACAAUGCAAAGAGGCAAGAUAAUGGCAAAUUCUUCGCCUGGGAUGGUCAAGAAGUACCAUGGUAAUCCUUAAGUAAUUGGAAGGAACAAGAUGGUUUUGAAUGGGAAAGAUCUCAUCUCAUGGAAAGAGUUUUAUUAUCAAAGCUCAACUGAUUGAUUGAAGGGAAGAUUACAUUAUCAGAGGCAUCAGUGGGUCUUUGCAUAAGACGCAUAUGUUUUAUUCUCUGUGUUUCUCUCUUCCAUAUUGCGGGAGGCUGACUCGAUCAUGCGUCCAUAUCAACAAUCUUUUGACAUCAGCGAAUCCUGCAAGCAACCAAAGGUCAAGUUUAUUCCCAAUUUCCAAGAAAGUAUACUAUUCGUGAGAGUCCGCUUGCCGCUUGAUAUGUACUUUGGGCUGGACCAGAUCAAAUGGAUUAGGAUUUCUCUGAACUUAUCCUGACAUAAAAGUUGGUGUUCAUGGAAACGGUGGAUUCGAACUUGACGUUGCAGGCUGUGGAGAUCUGGUCAAUUAGCUGACUUGCACGUUCACGGAUGGACUUGGGUGCUGCCUUGAGGCACCUACAGAUGGCCCUCUUGUCAUUAACCGAGCGCAUGCUCUGUUCAAGCUGGUUCAGCCCAUCACAGCACCCAUCGCGAACAUGGCACACACAGGUCCCUUCUGCAUCACUGUGCCACAUGAGAUGUCGGCCUGGCCGAGAAGGAAGAGGAGGAAGGUGGUGACUAUAAGGCUCUUCAUGGUUGCUUCUUUGAUGUAGUUGCAUUAUGAGGGUGGUGAAAGGUUUAUUUAUAUAGGCUCACAGAGGAGAGAAUUGG